rnacentral:rRNA from 1 species
GAUGAACGCUAGCGGGAGGCUUAACACAUGCAAGUCGAGCGGGAUUAGCAGCAAUGCUAUGAGAGCGGCGCACGGGUGCGUAACGCGUAUGCAACCUGCCUUAUACAGGGGGAUAGCCCAUGGAAACGUGGAUUAAUAUCCCAUAGGAUUAUAAUUUCGCAUGAAACUAUGAUUAAAACUGAGGUGGUAUAAGAUGGGCAUGCGUCUGAUUAGGUAGUUGGUGGGGUAACGGCCCACCAAGCCGACGAUCAGUAGGGGUCCUGAGAGGGUUACCCCCACACUGGUACUGAGACACGGACCAGACUCCUACGGGUGGCAG